AUCACCUCCACCGCCAUCUCCAUCGCCGCCUCCUCCCUAUGUAUACAAAUCUCCACCACCCCCUUCACCCUCACCUCCUCCUCCCUACCUUUACACCUCGCCUCCACCACCCGUGAAAUCACCUCCUCCCCCAGCCUACAUCUACUCAUCGCCUCCACCACCAACAUACUACUAAGCUCAAGAAGCCUAGUCAUGAGCCAGUUCCAAUUAAGUAAGUAGUGUCUAAACACUGAUAUUUGCUCACAAAUGUAUCCAAAAAGCCAUAUUUCAAGCGUUCCUUUACUGAAAUGUAAAACUUAAUCUCACUGAUCGCAUUCGAAUGCAGGUUCUAGUUUCAAGAGUGUAAUAAGGAGAGUGAUAAGGGUGCAAGGAUCAAUCAUCAAUUUCAUCAAGUUUUAUCGAAUAAGGGUCUCAAAGAUCCAUCGGCCAAGAGCCAACGAGGGGAAAUGGGUCGCCAGAUUGCUUCUGCCUCUUUGAUUGUCGUCUUCCAACUUCUGCUCACAUUACUUUCAGAUGGGACCGGCUCAAAAUGCUUAUCUCAACAAAGAAAAUGGUCGGAGCAUGCCUUGAUAAAAUAAGGGUGCAGGAUUUGCCCAUCUAGCUUUGCUUGUAUUUUUCCUUUCCCUUACUAAUACUCGUCGCCUUCUUAGGAUGUAAUCUCAUUUAUUUUGCCAUGUCCUUGUACUACUUCAUGUUGAUUUGGACUCCUCCCUUCAUUUGUUUGUUGGAUCC
rnacentral:lncRNA from 1 species